AAACUGAAGAGUUUGAUCAUGGCUCAGAUUGAACGCUGGCGGCAGGCUUAACACAUGCAAGUCGAACGAUGACUCUCUAGCUUGCUAGAGAAGAUUAGUGGCGGACGGGUGAGUAACAUUUAGGAAUCUGCCUAGUAGUGGGGGAUAGCUCGGGGAAACUCGAAUUAAUACCGCAUACGACCUACGGGUGAAAGGGGGCGCAAGCUCUUGCUAUUAGAUGAGCCUAAAUCAGAUUAGCUAGUUGGUGGGGUAAAGGCCCACCAAGGCGACGAUCUGUAACUGGUCUGAGAGGAUGAUCAGUCACACCGGAACUGAGACACGGUCCGGACUCCUACGGGAGGCAGCAGUGGGGAAUAUUGGACAAUGGGGGCAACCCUGAUCCAGCCAUGCCGCGUGUGUGAAGAAGGCCUUUUGGUUGUAAAGCACUUUAAGCAGGGAGGAGAGGCUAAUGGUUAAUACCCAUUAGAUUAGACGUUACCUGCAGAAUAAGCACCGGCUAACUCUGUGCCAGCAGCCGCGGUAAUACAGAGGGUGCGAGCGUUAAUCGGAAUUACUGGGCGUAAAGCGAGUGUAGGUGGCUCAUUAAGUCACAUGUGAAAUCCCCGGGCUUAACCUGGGAACUGCAUGUGAUACUGGUGGUGCUAGAAUAUGUGAGAGGGAAGUAGAAUUCCAGGUGUAGCGGUGAAAUGCGUAGAGAUCUGGAGGAAUACCGAUGGCGAAGGCAGCUUCCUGGCAUAAUAUUGACACUGAGAUUCGAAAGCGUGGGUAGCAAACAGGAUUAGAUACCCUGGUAGUCCACGCCGUAAACGAUGUCUACUAGCCGUUGGGGUCCUUGAGACUUUAGUGGCGCAGUUAACGCGAUAAGUAGACCGCCUGGGGAGUACGGCCGCAAGGUUAAAACUCAAAUGAAUUGACGGGGGCCCGCACAAGCGGUGGAGCAUGUGGUUUAAUUCGAUGCAACGCGAAGAACCUUACCUGGUCUUGACAUAGUGAGAAUCUUUCAGAGAUGAGAGAGUGCCUUCGGGAAUUCACAUACAGGUGCUGCAUGGCUGUCGUCAGCUCGUGUCGUGAGAUGUUGGGUUAAGUCCCGCAACGAGCGCAACCCUUUUCCUUAUUUGCCAGCGGGUUAAGCCGGGAACUUUAAGGAUACUGCCAGUGACAAACUGGAGGAAGGCGGGGACGACGUCAAGUCAUCAUGGCCCUUACGACCAGGGCUACACACGUGCUACAAUGGUAGGUACAGAGGGUUGCUACACAGCGAUGUGAUGCUAAUCUCAAAAAGCCUAUCGUAGUCCGGAUUGGAGUCUGCAACUCGACUCCAUGAAGUCGGAAUCGCUAGUAAUCGCAGAUCAGAAUGCUGCGGUGAAUACGUUCCCGGGCCUUGUACACACCGCCCGUCACACCAUGGGAGUCUAUUGCACCAGAAGUAGGUAGCCUAACGAAAGAGGGCGCUUACCACGGUGUGGUCGAUGACUGGGGUGAAGUCGUAACAAGGUAGCCGUAGGGGAACCUGCGGCUGGAUCACCUCCUUA
rnacentral:rRNA from 1 species